UCCUACGGGAGGCAGCAGUGGGGAAUAUUGGACAAUGGGCGGAAGCCUGAUCCAGCAACGCCGCGUGAGGGAUGACGGCCUUCGGGUUGUAAACCUCUUUCAGCGGGGACGAAGCGCAAGUGACGGUACCCGCAGAAGAAGCACCGGCCAACUACGUGCCAGCAGCCGCGGUAAU
rnacentral:rRNA from 1 species